GUGUGAGUAUGUGUGUAUACACUGCAUUAUAUUUUUCAAAUGUGUUUGCCUUUGAGGAGUUGUUUAAGCCAGGGAUAAAGGCUAUUAGUUAUUUUUCUAUAUGCUCUGGCUAUUCCUAUACACAGAUUAUUGCCUCAAUGCCACCACUCAUAUUCUUAGUCACUCAUGGAUGAAACAAGAGCAUCCUAUAUGCUAACUAGCUUUAUCAUGGUAGAUUCUUGAUUUUUGCACUUAAAUCCAAUUAUAUUUGGCGUGUUUUGGUUUAUCUCACUCAACAUGACUUCAGACAGUUUCAAAGCCAAGGAGGAACGCAUAAGUAUUCGGGCAGUCAUUGAAGGCAAGAACCCGUCACCUCUUCUUACCUUAUCAUGGGACCAAUGGUUCAUUCAAGAGCUUAUGCUCAACCCAGUUGCUCCAAGGGCCAUAUCAUUUAUACUUGUUUCAUGAUACUGUCCAGUUACCACUGAAUAUGAAAAUAUCUUAAAAUAAUUGCUUUAUCAGGUGUGGAUCAAAACCUUCUUUUAUGUCAGUUGGUGGUGGAGGCAGAGGGCAGUUUAGUGCUUUGCCAUCCAAACCACAGAAUAUCUUUGCUGCUUUAUUUUUUCCUUCAAUUGUCAUUGAAAAUAACUAGUCAUAAUGCCUUUGUAAGCCUCGCCCAGCCUCAGCUAUGCGUAAAUCAUGCUCCCAGACAGGGCCCCUUGGUUUAGAGGUCCCAUUGUGGAAGUGAUUUAGGUAGAGGCAGGAUCAUGAAUAAAGAACACUCACCCUCUUCUUCAGAGGCAGGGGCGGGAGAGCCCUUCCCAAACAUCUCUUUUCAGUACCAGUAUUUGGCUAAGAGCUUUAAUUUCAUUAGACAAAUGGGGGCUGGGUUUUUCCAUGCAUCUCAGCCUCCUUUUAAUGUGUAAAUUACAUAGGAUUUGCCACUCAUUACAAUGGUGAUAUGAUUAUUGGCCUCAAAUAGACCACACUGCACAGGCCCUCAGUGAUAGGCCAGCUCAGAAGUGGCAUGUGUGGGAAGCUUUGGACAGCAUAUGUCUGCUGAUCACAAGCCUUCAAAAGAAUAGAAUCCACAGACGCGAGGCUCCCACUGGCUUUACUCAGAGUGCUUCACGGAAAGUUGAUUUCUGGGUGGACGUGACAUCCUGAAAGGUAACAAUAUAGUUACAAAGUGAAAACUGCUCCGGGCGAAAGGAGUGGCAAGGAGAAUGCUUUUAGGAUUUGGAGGCAGAAGCCCUAGGCCUGGCUGUUUACUGAAGAAAGUCAUGUCACUGAACUCUUAUGAACCUUAGUUUCCCCACUCACAAAAUGAGGAUAAUAAUGCCUCCCCAAUACCUGCAAGUUAUUAAGGAACACUAUUUGUUGAUACUGCGCUAGGUAUGACUGUGC
rnacentral:lncRNA from 1 species